GGAGAGGUGUCAGAGUGGUCUAAUGUGCUCGCUUGGAAAGCGUGUGUACGGCAACGUACCGGGGGUUCGAAUCCCCCCUUCUCCGCCA
rnacentral:tRNA from 1 species